GAUGAACGCUGGCGGCGUGCCUAAUACAUGCAAGUCGAGCGAACGGACGAGAAGCUUGCUUCUCUGAUGUUAGCGGCGGACGGGUGAGUAACACGUGGAUAACCUACCUAUAAGACUGGGAUAACUUCGGGAAACCGGAGCUAAUACCGGAUAAUAUUUUGAACCGCAUGGUUCAAAAGUGAAAGACGGUCUUGCUGUCACUUAUAGAUGGAUCCGCGCUGCAUUAGCUAGUUGGUAAGGUAACGGCUUACCAAGGCAACGAUGCAUAGCCGACCUGAGAGGGGGAUCGGCCACACUGAAACUGAGCCACGGUCCAGACUCCGACGGGAGGCAGAAGUAGGGAAUCUUCCGCAAAGGGCGAAAGCCUGACGGAGCAACGCCGCGUGAGUGAUGAAGGUCUGCGGAUCGUAAAACUCUGUUAUUAGGGAAGAACAUAUGUGUAAGUAACUGUGCACAUCUGGACGGUACCUAAUCAGAAAGCCACGGCUAACUACGG
rnacentral:rRNA from 1 species